rnacentral:rRNA from 1 species
UACGAAGGGGGCUAGCGUUGCUCGGAAUCACUGGGCGUAAAGGGUGCGUAGGCGGGUCUUUAAGUCAGGGGUGAAAUCCUGGAGCUCAACUCCAGAACUGCCUUUGAUACUGAAGAUCUUGAGUUCGGGAGAGGUGAGUGGAACUGCGAGUGUAGAGGUGAAAUUCGUAGAUAUUACGCAAGAACACCAGUGGCGAAGGCGGACUCACUGGCCCGAUACUGACGCUGAGGCAGAACG